rnacentral:ncRNA from 1 species
UGGUGGCUUGUCCACGAAUUGCAAUCAUAAUAGUGGGCGGGGGUGAAUCCUUUGCAGACGACUUGAAUGGGAACGGGGUACUGUAAGCGGUAGAGUAGCCUUGUUGCUACGAUCCGCUGAGGUUAAGCCCUUGUUCUAUAGAUUUGU